GAUGAACGCUGGCGGCGUGCUUAACACAUGCAAGUCGAACGGAAAGGCUCCUGCCUGCAGGGGUACUCGAGUGGCGAACGGGUGAGUAACACGUGGGUGAUCUGCCCUGUACUUCGGGAUAAGCUUGGGAAACUGGGUCUAAUACCGGAUAUGACAAUCUCUUGGAUGGGGUUGUGGAAAGCUUUUGCGGUAUGGGAUGAGCUCGCGGCCUAUCAGCUUGUUGGUGGGGUAGUGGCCUACCAAGGCGUCGACGGGUAGCCGGCCUGAGAGGGUGUACGGCCACAUUGGGACUGAGAUACGGCCCAGACUCCUACGGGAGGCAGCAGUGGGGAAUAUUGCACAAUGGGCGCAAGCCUGAUGCAGCGACGCCGCGUGGGGGAUGACGGCCUUCGGGUUGUAAACUCCUUUCGCAACCGACGAAGCUUUUGUGACGGUAGGUUGAGAAGAAGCACCGGCUAACUACGUG
rnacentral:rRNA from 1 species